UACGUAGGUGGCGAGCGUUGUCCGGAUUUACUGGGCGUAAAGAGCGCGCAGGCGGCUGGUCAAGUCCGAUGUGAAAGCUCCCGGCUUAACUGGGAAAUUGCAUCGGAAACUGAUCGGCUGGAAGGUGGGAGAGGGUAGCGGAAUUCCCGGUGUAGUGGUGAAAUGCGUAGAUAUCGGGAGGAACACCAGUGGCGAAGGCGACUACCUGGCCUGUUCUUGACGCUGAGGCGCGAAAGCUAGGGGAGCAAACGGG
rnacentral:rRNA from 1 species